ACCCGCGAACUUAAGCAUAUCAAUAAGCGGAGGAAAAGAAACCAACAGGGAUUGCCUUAGUAACGGCGAGUGAAGCGGCAAAAGCUCAAAUUUGAAAUCGGCCACCAGGUCGAGUUGUAAUUUGUAGAUUGUAUCUUGAGAGCGGAUUAAAGUCUGUUGGAACACAGCGCCUUAGAGGGUGACAGCCCCGUAAAAUCUAUUCUCAUUGUAAGAUACUUUCGAAGAGUCGAGUUGUUUGGGAAUGCAGCUCUAAGUGGGAGGUAAAUUCCUUCUAAAGCUAAAUAUUGACGAGAGACCGAUAGCGAACAAGUACUGUGAAGGAAAGAUGAAAAGCACUUUGAAAAGAGAGUGAAAAAGUACGUGAAAUUGUUAAAAGGGAAGGGUAUUGAAUCAGACUUGGUGCUGUUGUUCAACUGUGUUUCGGCACAGUGUACUCAGCAGUACUAGGCCAAGGUGGGGUGUUUGGGAGUGAAAAAGAAGUUGGAACGUAACUCUUCGGAGUGUUAUAGCCUACUUUCAUAGCUCCUCAGGCGCCUCAGGACUGCGCUUCGGCAAGGACCUUGGCAUAAUGAUUCUAUACCGCCCGUCUUGAAACACGGACCAAGA
rnacentral:rRNA from 1 species